UUUAGAUUCUAUACUUUAUUUCAUACAAUAAAUAUGAAUGUGUACAGCAGGUACAGUAAUCUCCAUCCUACAACAGAGGACCCUGAGACUGGUGACUCAGGGAUGCAUCUGCAUGGAGCCGGCCUAGGGUGGGGUGGAUGGUGCUGAAGAGGACAGCAGAUGAUGUAGAACCAGGGGUAGUGACUCACCUGGGACCCCCUCAGCAGAGGAGCCUCAGUCAGUCCCCAAAGCUCAGCAGCACCCUCUGGGGACCUGCUCCCUGCUGGCUUGGUCAGCACCAUGGGCAGAAGACAGGUAGGAAGAGGCUGAGUCAGGAAAGACCAGUAGGAGGAGGACAGCCAGGUGCCCCAACCAAGCCAGGGCUGCUGGCUGACAGCACUGAGAACCCCCUGAGGUGAGGGAUGGGGUAAAGGGCCAAGCUGGCCACCUGUGGAGCCCUCAGUCACCCUCAUUGCCUCUGGUGCCACUCCGGCAGUGCACAGCAACACAAUUAGUAAGUGGACAAGCCAGGCAUGUGGAUGGGUCUGGGGAGUCUUGCUCAGGGUCUCUGACAGGACAAGGGUAAAAGAAGGGCCACUGUGGCUGGAGAGAGGGUCACAGCCUCUGGGUCAGACACCAUGGAGAAAUGAGGAAAACGGAAGGGUUGGUGGCCGAUAUGCAGGAGAGGCAGAUGGACGUGGGAUGGUCAGAGUCCAUUAGACAGGAUGGGCUCCAGGUGCAUCCUCGCUGUACUGGGCACUUCUCAGCAUUCCUGGAACUGAGCCUGGCGAUAUAGUCACUUUUUGGGACACUGCUGUCAGGGCCCAGCCACACACCCCUGGGCAGCACUGUCCCAUCUCAGGACUGGACUUUCUCAGCUACCACAGGGGAUGCUGCCUGCAGCCCAGGAGAGGCAGCCCCAUGGUGCAGCCUGAGCCCCCAUGGAUCCUCAGCAGCCCCUGCCUGGCCCUGUGUCUGCUUCAUUGCUCCGACCCCUCCUGAGUGUCAGCCAGCAUGGAGGCCCUGGCUGUCCGUUCUUCCCUAUGCAGGCUCCUGUGCUGAGACCUGGGUCAGAUGAGGAUGGGGCUGGUCUUUCCCUGAGGCCUGCUCAGGAAAGAGGAUGGCCCACAGCCUUGUCUAGGUCCUCAGCUCUCCUCAUGGCCUUACAGUGAGACAGAGCUGCCCCUGUCUGUGCCCUGCAGGUAGAGGUAAGAGCCUGACCCUGCUGCAUGGAAGCUGUUCCAUAGAUGGGUGACUCGGUGGGGGUUUGGUGAGGCAGAGGCCGUGGCCUGUGGGCAUGGGUGCUGGUGAGUGGGAGUGACACACUGUCACUGGGAGAGGCCACAGUUCCUGCUGAAUCUCAUCCUAAACUCCAGCCCUGCAGGUCUUUUACCACAGCCACCACCGAGAAUCACAGUAGUGUCUCAGGAGUCACUGCCCGCUGACCACCAGGGCCCUACCUGGAGGCCAAGACCCAACCAAAGCUCAAGGUGUCUUUGCCCUGGGAAGAGUGUGUCCUGUGGUCAUGAGGCCAGGGCACCAGUGCCCACUCAUCAGGGGCUGGGUUCUGUCCUAUUCUAGCUCCUUCCAGUUAAGUCACAUCAGGGCCCCUAAGCACAAGACCCAGCAUCCAAGAAUCACUCCAGGAAGCCUGGCAGCUCAGCUCCCUCCAUCACUUCUUAUCUACAGCAAAAACAUCAGGGCAUCAGAUGCACAGAUAAAUGGCUAUGAAUGCUUAACUGGAAUAAAUCUAAGAACAGUAAGAAGGCACAGCGGUGAGUGUCCCCCAUGACCGCUCUUCAGAGUUUAGGACAGGUGCCCAUUGUUGCUGCCUGGUGUUGCCUGUCUCUCAGAGAAGGGUACAUUUUCCUCACCAAAAGGACAACAAGCCUUGUCCCCAGCCCUCCUACCCAUCCCUGCAAGGAUCACCUUGCUGGGAGGAAUCUGAUGCCAGGGCCUGGGUCACUUCUAAGCCAGGAACAGGAACACUUUCUGGUCACCCCAAAGGAAGGAAUAAAUCCAGAUCAGAGUUCACAACCUGAGCUCUUGCUCACUCUUUAUUCAUGGGAAGGGAGGCCCAGUCCUAGGCAGACUGAACCUCUCCUAAGGAACCGUGGAGACAAAAGCUGGAAACUUCCAGAAUCCUUAGGUUCAGAUCCCCCUUGGAGU
rnacentral:lncRNA from 1 species